rnacentral:rRNA from 1 species
AGAGUUUGAUCCUGGCUCAGAUUGAACGCUGGCGGCAGGCCUAACACAUGCAAGUCGAGCGGAAACGAUCCUAGCUUGCUAGGAGGCGUCGAGCGGCGGACGGGUGAGUAAUGCAUAGGAAUCUGCCCGGUAGUGGGGGAUAACCUGGGGAAACCCAGGCUAAUACCGCAUACGCCCUACGGGGGAAAGCAGGGGAUCUUCGGACCUUGCGCUAUCGGAUGAGCCUAUGUCGGAUUAGCUAGUUGGUGAGGUAACGGCUCACCAAGGCUGCGAUCCGUAGCUGGUCUGAGAGGAUGAUCAGCCACAUCGGGACUGAGACACGGCCCGAACUCCUACGGGAGGCAGCAGUGGGGAAUAUUGGACAAUGGGCGAAAGCCUGAUCCAGCCAUGCCGCGUGUGUGAAGAAGGCCUUCGGGUUGUAAAGCACUUUCAGUGAGGAAGAAAGCCUUGAGGUUAAUACCCUCGAGGGAGGACAUCACUCACAGAAGAAGCACCGGCUAACUCCGUGCCAGCAGCCGCGGUAAUACGGAGGGUGCGAGCGUUAAUCGGAAUUACUGGGCGUAAAGCGCGCGUAGGCGGCUUGAUAAGCCGGUUGUGAAAGCCCCGGGCUCAACCUGGGAACGGCAUCCGGAACUG